GGCUUUGUAGCUCAGUUGGUUAGAGCGUAGCAUUCAUAACGCUAAGGUCCGCAGUUCAAUUCUGCGCAAAGCCACCA
rnacentral:tRNA from 1 species